rnacentral:rRNA from 1 species
GAUGAACGCUGGCGGCGUGCCUAAUACAUGCAAGUCGAGCGAACAGACGAGGAGCUUGCUCCUCUGACGUUAGCGGCGGACGGGUGAGUAACACGUGUAUAACCUACCUAUAAGACUGGGAUAACUUCGGGAAACCGGAGCUAAUACCGGAUAAUAUAUUGAACCGCAUGGUUCAAUAGUGAAAGACGGUUUUGCUGUCACUUAUAGAUGGAUCCGCGCCGCAUUAGCUAGUUGGUAAGGUAACGGCUUACCAAGGCGACGAUGCGUAGCCGACCUGAGAGGGUGAUCGGCCACACUGGAACUGAGACACGGUCCAGACUCCUACGGGAGGCAGCAGUAGGGAAUCUUCCGCAAUGGGCGAAAGCCUGACGGAGCAACGCCGCGUGAGUGAUGAAGGUCUUCGGAUCGUAAAACUCUGUUAUUAGGGAAGAACAAAUGUGUAAGUAACUAUGCACGUCUUGACGGUACCUAAUCAGAAAGCCACGGCUAACUACGUG